rnacentral:snoRNA from 1 species
CCCCUGUCAGGGUCACACCUGGAGACUUUCCAGUACCCUACCAGUUUUGGCUAUGGAAGGGAGAGUCAAGCAGAGGCAUACCCAUUCCAUUCCUAGCUUGGGCAGAGGCUAGUGAGUGGAAGGCAGUCUGCUACAAGU